CUGGCUUAAAGGUGGGGCAGGUGAGCAGGGCUGCUGUUCCUGGUUUGUAGCCAAUUGAACCCCUAACCCUGAGCCUCCAACUGGGGAAAACGUGAGGAAGGAACACGAGAGGUUAAGAGUGCCCUGCAGAAUUUCUGUGGAAAUCUACUGGCUUCAGCUUCCUGUUUGACUGCCAUAAACAAGGAAAUGCAUAUCCUCCUUGCCAGUUUUUCAGCAGAACCAACGUGCUUGUUCCUGAGCAGCUGGGUGAAUUGGAUUUUGGAAGGAUGCUUUGUGUCUUUGAAGUCUUUUCUGGCUAAAUACCAUUAAUCUUCAGAGUGAUUCAGUUCUUAAGAUGUGCACCUGAGGUAAUGGAGAUCUUUAGAGAGAACCUGUCAGUGAAGCAGAGAACUAAGGAGCAGGACAUCAGUAAUCCAUCAAAGGACUGAGCAUAAGCUGUUGAAGACUUGUAUGGCUCUGUACAAGGAGACCAAGUGUCUGGGAAAAUUCAGUGUAACGUCUCUAGAUGACAGCCCAUUAUUUGAGCUGCAUCUCUAGCACUGCCAACCACUGGAGUUUGUGAGCAUGUUUUUGCUGUGGAAAAAAUAACGAGCCAAAUAUACAAUGUAUUGUAGAUGACAAUUAAUAAAACCAUCAUACUGAUAACAUACACUGGAUGUAGCCCAGUUUGGGUUCUUUGGAUUGAAAGAGUUGCGGUGCCCUGGGUACAAUUUCUAGCUGUCCCUUUACCAAUGAUGUAACAUGUUUACUAUUUGCCAAAUGUUAACGAUAUAAGCUCAAUAUUACAACUUGAUCAGCUAAA